rnacentral:rRNA from 1 species
UACGUAGGGUGCUAGCGUUGUCCGGAUUUAUUGGGCGUAAAGGGUGCGUAGGCGGUUCCGCAAGUCCUGUGUGAAAUCUUCGGGCUCAACUCGAAGUCUGCACGGGAAACUGCGGGGCUUGAGUGUGGGAGAGGUGAGUGGAAUUCCCGGUGUAGCGGUGAAAUGCGCAGAUAUCAGGAGGAACACCGGUGGCGAAGGCGGGUCUCUGGGCCGUAACUGACGCUGAGGAGCGAAAGCGUGGGGAGCGAACAGG